CUACGUGCCAGCAGCCGCGGUAAUACGGAAGGUCCAGGCGUUAUCCGGAUUUAUUGGGUUUAAAGGGAGUGUAGGCGGUCUGUUAAGCGUGUUGUGAAAUUUAGGUGCUCAACAUUUAACUUGCAGCGCGAACUGGCGGACUUGAGUGCACGCAACGUAUGCGGAAUUCAUGGUGUAGCGGUGAAAUGCUUAGAUAUCAUGACGAACUCCGAUUGCGAAGGCAGCGUACGGGAGUGUUACUGACGCUUAAGCUCGAAGGUGCGGGUAUCGAACAGGAUUAGAUACCCUGGUAGUCCGCACGGUAAACGAUGGAUGCCCGCUGUUAGCGCCUGGCGUUAGCGGCUAAGCGAAAGCAUUAAGCAUCCCACCUGGGGAGUACGCCGGCAACGGUGAAACUCAAAGGAAUUGACGGGGGCCCGCACAAGCGGAGGAACAUGUGGUUUAAUUCGAUGAUACGCGAGGAACCUUACCCGGGCUUGAAUUGCAGACGCAGGAUACAGAGAUGU
rnacentral:rRNA from 1 species